UAAACAAGAUGGCAGACAAUGAAAUCUGCAGUUUUUUCUUCUUGUUUUGAAACAUCUUGUUCAGGAAAAUUCUACCUCAAGAGACUCAGAAUUUGAUGAAAAACAGUUGACAAAGUUGGGAUAAUCUUUAAGAAAAGCCAAAGGGUUGAUCUGGACAUGAUGAGUAGUACACGUAUAGCUACUCGUAGAAAAGAAAAUAGGAGGACAUCAGGGUGGUAUGGGGGCGAAGGCCAAGAGGAUUUUAGCUGUUCCCUUCAAGAUGUCUUUGAAAUAGAGAUCGAGAGAUACAUGUAGUGGUGUGGUAGUCCCCGACCGAUCCCGAUUGCAAUGUCCCUUGCAAGAUUUUCCUAAUGAAGAUUCUAAGGAUUACAGAUCCUCUAGCAAGAAGACCACACAGAUAGAAAUGACCAGAGCAGAGGACAUACAGCCCCCCCCCCCAAAAAAAAAAAAAAUUCACAGUGGACUGGAAGUAAAUUUUACAUGAAAAAUACAAAGUAGGAAAAAUAACAGAAAGAAAAGAGGACCCAGUUAAAGUUGUCACUGGUGCAAGAUGGACGUAGAGAGGGUUUUCCAAUGAUCAUUACUAAAAUCCACAGCAAAUUAAUAUUGCAAGGCUGAGCUACUUUUCAAACUUACACAAAAGGACAUAAAGAAAUGUGAAUUCGAGGAAACCAAGCUGACAUCAAAUGAGAGAAUAUGAAGGAACAAAUUUUAGCAAAAAUUUUUUAUUUUAAGCAGGGCAUCUGUUUUCCUUAGAGAAUA